GACGAACCGUGCGAACGUUGUUCGGAAUCACUGGGCUUAAAAGGGCGCGUAGGCGGACCGGCGAGUCAGGGGUGAAAGCCCGCGGCCCAACCACGGAAGUGCCCCUGAUACCGCCGGCCUUGAGGGGGAGUAGGGGCGUGCGGAACUUCGGGUGGAGCGGUGAAAUGCGUAGAUAUCCGAAGGAACACCGGUGGCGAAGGCGGCACGCUGGGUCCCUACUGACGCUGAGGCGCGAAAGCCAGGGGGAGCGAACGGG
rnacentral:rRNA from 1 species